AUGGGGUCAACUACUCUCUUGCUGUGGGUACUGCUGUUCUGGGUCCCAGGUUCCACUGGGGACAUUGUGCUGACCCAGUCUCCACCUUCAUUGAUUGUGUCUCUCGGGGAGAAGGCCACCAUCUCCUGCAGGGCCAGCAAAAGUGUCAGUGCAGGUAGUAUACAUCUUAUGCACUGGUAUCAACAGAAACCUGGACAGCCCCCCAAACUCCUCAUCUAUCAAGCAUCCAACCUAGAAUCUGGGGUCCCUGCCAGGUUCAGUGGCAGUGGGUCUGGGACAGACUUCGCACUCACCAUCCAUCCUGUGGAGGCUGAUGAUGCUGCAACCUAUUACUGUCAGCAGAGUAGGGAGUAUCCUCCCACAGUGCUCCAGGGCUAA